CCUACGGGUGGCUGCAGUGAGGAAUAUUGGUCAAUGGCCGGAAGGCUGAACCAGCCAAGCCGCGUGAGGGAGGAAGGCGCAGAGCGUCGCAGACCUCUUUUGUCGGGGAGCAAAAGCCGGACGUGUCCGGCUGUGAGAGUACCCGAAGAAACAGCAUCGGCUAACUCCGUGCCAGCAGCCGCGGUAAUACGGAGGAUGCGAGCGUUAUCCGGAUUUAGUGGGUUUAAAGGGUGCGCAGGCGGAUUUUUAAGUCAGCGGUCAAAUCGUGGGGCUCAACCCCAUCCAGCCGUUGAAACUGGGGAUCUAGAGUGUGCGAGAGGUAGGCGGAAUGCGUGGUGUAGCGGUGAAAUGCAUAGAUAUCACGCAGAACCCCGAUUGCGAAGGCAGCAUACCGGUGCACAACUGACGCUCAGGCACGAAAGCGUGGGUAUCGAACAGGAUUAGAUACCCUAGUAGUC
rnacentral:rRNA from 1 species